CAUGGAGGCCGAACCAUGACAAUGCCUGGCAGAGUCCAAAGACGAUGAGUGGUGUGGCUCCAAUGCCAGAAGCUGAAGGGCUGAGGAGACUGCUCAUCCAGUAGAGGUGCUGGCUGCCGGGCCGGUGGACCGAGCUUGAUCCUUGGGACCUAGAUGAUAAAUGUAUCUAUUCUGCUGCUGUUGCUGCUGCUAGUCUUUGCUGACAUCAGACUUCGGCUUCAUUGGUUUCCAAUGUAGAUGGAAGACCAGCAACACUACCAACAUCUUCUAGACCUCCAGCUCCAGUCUGAGGCUGCUGGGGUAUCCAUCUCAUGGGCUGAACAUCCUCUCAGUUCACAGUCUCUCCAGCAUGCAGACAGCCAAUGCUGGACUACUCAGGCCUGUCUGGUGCAAGCCAAUCUAUGAACUCUCCUUUGUAGUAUAUAUUUAUUCUGUUUUCUUCCUCUGGAGAACCUCACUACAGAGUAGUGUUGGCAACAUCUCCCAGAGAACAAUAUGUUAACAUGGAGCAUACAGUGCUGGGUUGCUCCUAGCAGAGAAGCCUUCAGGACAACCUCAGAAGUAGAAGACACUUUUGUGGGAGAAGAAUACAGAGGAAAAGAAGGCAGCUGAAUCGAUUAGACUGCUCGAUACCCGCACGACACUGUGCAUAAUUACUCAACCAGGAACGAUGUGAUUAACUAAUUUGUAGUAUUUCUUCCUUGUAAAGAAGAGAAGAUAUAUUUUUUAAAAAAGCAAUAAAGACACACAUUUAAAAAACUGUUCCAAGACUCUCAGAGGAUGCUGAUAAACUCCUGUUAAAAAUAUGACUAAUCUAUUUCCCAAAAAGGGGGAAAAAGUCUCUCUAUACAAAUAGCUAGCAAAAUUGCCAAGGAGAUUUAGCCUUGGACUUGUGAGAAAUAUCAAUCUGAAAAGUCUAUCAUCCGAAGACCUUGGACAUCAAUAGUGGAUUUGAAUUAUGGAGCUGGGCUGCACCUUAAUUUACCCGGUCCUUCCCCAAGUAGGCAGAGAAUAUCAAUAUCUUGCAUUUAUAUGAUGACUGUCUUCCCAGAUGGCUUCAUCAAAUUGUAUGUUUUAUGAGACCCUCUUUCUUAACCGUGGUCAUCUCCGAAUGAGAACGACGCUCCUGGGUGACUCAAGCGAAGGAAAAAUCCCCAUCUUUCUACCCGUGAUCGUAAAAACGUUCAGUUAGCAAGCAUUUCCUGAGCAUCUGCGUGGGCAGAGCCAGAGACAAGUCUGUAGAUGGUGACAUACGGAAGAUUAAAAGGACGUGGUCCCAGAGCAACGGAGAUACCUCAGUCCGUAAUGUGCUUGUCUUGCUGUGCGAGUGUGAAGACCUGAGCUUGGAUUCCCAGCACUCGCAUAAAAAGCCAGGGGCAGGAGGCCAUGUGGGCUGGACUGAGGCCCACAAUUCCCAGAAGCUUUGGGAAGAACUGGGACCUGAAGGGAAGUUCCUGGGAGGACAGGCCUAAGCAGCAGGAGCCCGGGUUUAAUCAGGUGACAUAGGCAGGCCUAGGCAGGAGAAGCUGAGCUCCUAACUUGGUACAGGAGCUAGGUGGGGGCUAGGCUUCUGGCCCCAAAUUCCUAGGAGCUGUGGGCAGGCCUGGUGCAGGCUGUGGGGCUGCUGCUGGUGUUAGUGGAAUAUAGGUGAAAUAAAAGUAGAGAACAGGAAGACAGGGGACAGGUAGUUGGAGCAGGCAGUGGAGGGAUGGGGGUUGGAGAAUGCAGGGUCAGAGGAAGGCUUAACCAACAUGAAGAACCUACAUGAUUUUUCUAUCUGAAUAAAAACAAUUUAAUGAAGGAACUGUACAACAUACUCAAUAUGAACGAACAGGGGGAAAAUACUGUGAAUAAAGCUUUAGGUAGAUUUGGGGACAGGAUGGGUAAGAGACCAUUUAACCAAAACCUAGGAUAUAUGACAAAGCUUUAUGAAGCCCCCUGCCUUGUAAUCUAAUUUAAAAUUUAACUUUUAGAGGGAGUUUGAACUCGAGUACUCCAUAUUAGUGACAGUCCUGCUCCCAGGAGAUACGUGUUAGUAAAUGAAAAUCUCAGUGUUGGGCAUGGAUUGCUUCCCUGUGAUUUAUUGGUCAAAGAGGCCCCAGAGGCAUCAAACCCCGUACAGGCUAUUGCCAUUGCUCUUGAUGCCCACUGUCACAGGAUGACAGGACCCUAUUGCUGAAGGCAGCACAUGAUUUUGUUGCAGGUCACAGAGAAAUCGAUCCUAAACUGAUCAGUAAACUCACCCUACUGGAUGCCAUUCAUAGUGCUAGACAACCUUAUGCAAGCUGCUGCUGGGGAGAAGAGACUGCAGUGGGCUUACCCGGGGCUGAGUCUUAUAUCCAACAAUAGCGACCUGCCAGGCAAGAUGUGCCUGCGGCUGCAAUCGUGGCACAACUGCUUACGGACACCCCCUUGCAUGUGAGACCUGCUCCGCAGGAUGAAAUUCAUGGCUGGUAUUGUAAACACAGCUACAAACAUGGCUAGGGAAGUCAUGGCCCCCAGGGAAGAACCUUAUGACAUUGUUUUUCUAAAUAGUUACGUUGUCAAACCACCUUAUAAAUAUUUAGGUUUAUAACUGUAGGUGUAUUUGUGCUGCUCCCAACCUUCUUAUUGCAGUGCAUUGUGGGUACUGCAGAGAUGCAUUACUGCUUAAAAUGCCGACAAUAAGGAACAGUGAAUGCUUAGCCAUAGAUAGGGCAUCUGGGUCAAGCCCCCUUCCAAGGCUCAGGUAACAUCUUGGAAGAGGGGAUAAAAAGAAUGUAUGAGCUGGAUAAUGAGGGAGAAUGCUGUGAAGUGCUGUGCCCUGUGUAGGCCUGGCUGUUCUGCUUAUGGACACACAGCAGCUGUGGUUACCAUGGUUACUUGCACAAGGUCUGUGCAAGAUCAAGCCAAUUAACAGUACCAGCAUGGAAGACAGAGAGGGUCCUGAUGUGACACCUGCUGCUGCAGCUGAAGAGCCCAGGGGUUGAUGCCAUGCCCAUGCCUGUGUGAUGGCACUCACUGGACUCAGUGGGCUAAAAAAAAAUUUUUUUUUAAAUUUAGUAACAAAGUUUGAAAUAAAUGUUUUAAAGGGGGUAAAUAAACUUGGGAAAGAGAUAUAAUGGGAAGUUGAGGGGAGUUGGAGGAGAGAGAUCCAGAUAAGUUGUAUAAAUGUAUAUCAUUUUCAAAAGAAUACAUACAAAUUAUAAAAACUCCAGGUGUGUUUACGUGUGCCUGCAAUCCCAGUACUGGUUGACGGAAACAGGUGGAUUUCUGGGACUCUUGGGUCAGCAAGCUGGCCUGAAUGGGGAGUUCUAGGCCAGCAAGAAUCCUGUCUUAAGGGCAUGAUGGCACACACCUUUAAUCCCAGCAUUCUAGAGGCAGAAGCAGGCAGAUCCUCAUGAAUAUAUUCCAGGCCAGUCAGGGUGAGAUACUGAGACCCUGUCUCAAACAAACAAAAAGUGGAGAGUAGCAGAAGAACUCAGUUUCCGAUUUCUACACAGGUAUGCAUCCAUGUAAACCUGCAUACAGCAGUUCAUGAACACACACACACACUUGUGCACACACUCCUGUGAUCCCCACCUUCCAGUGCCUCCCUUUGUAUUAUAAAGAAUAUUUGUUUCACAAAUGGGCAAACUCCUAAGCAGGACAACUUUAGAGGUUUGUAAGAGGUCAUAAGAGACGGCAGUUUUUCUUUCCAGGGGUGUGUCUGAGAUACUUGGACAUUGGCAUCUGCUAAUGUUAAAAAGUAUACUUCAAAUGUGUACCAAGUUUUAA